UGGGGAAUUUUGGACAAUGGGCGAAAGCCUGAUCCAGCAAUGCCGCGUGUGUGAAGAAGGCCUUCGGGUUGUAAAGCACUUUUGUCCGGAAAGAAAUGGCUCUGGUUAAUACCUGGGGUCGAUGACGGUACCGGAAGAAUAAGGACCGGCUAACUACGUGCCAGCAGCCGCGGUAAUACGUAGGGUCCAAGCGUUAAUCGGAAUUACUGGGCGUAAAGCGUGCGCAGGCGGUUGUGCAAGACCGAUGUGAAAUCCCCGAGCUUAACUUGGGAAUUGCAUUGGUGACUGCACGGCUAGAGUGUGUCAGAGGGGGUAGAAUUCCACGUGUAGCAGUGAAAUGCGUAGAGAUGUGGAGGAAUACCGAUGGCGAAGGCAGCCCCCUGGGAUAACACUGACGCUCAUGCACGAAAGCGUGGGGAGCAAACAGG
rnacentral:rRNA from 1 species